rnacentral:rRNA from 1 species
AUCUCAUAGCGGCGGAGGCCUAACACAUGCAAGUCGAACGGUAACAGGAAGAAGCUUGCUUCUUUGCUGACGAGUGGCGGACGGGUGAGUAAUGUCUGGGAAACUGCCUGAUGGAGGGGGAUAACUACUGGAAACGGUAGCUAAUACCGCAUAACGUCGCAAGACCAAAGAGGGGGACCUUCGGGCCUCUUGCCAUCGGAUGUGCCCAGAUGGGAUUAGCUAGUAGGUGGGGUAACGGCUCACCUAGGCGACGAUCCCUAGCUGGUCUGAGAGGAUGACCAGCCACACUGGAACUGAGACACGGUCCAGACUCCUACGGGAGGCAGCAGUGGGGAAUAUUGCACAAUGGGCGCAAGCCUGAUGCAGCCAUGCCGCGUGUAUGAAGAAGGCCUUCGGGUUGUAAAGUACUUUCAGCGGGGAGGAAGGGAGUAAAGUUAAUACCUUUGCUCAUUGACGUUACCCGCAGAAGAAGCACCGGCUAACUCCGUGCCA